rnacentral:rRNA from 1 species
AUGCUAAAUGACCCGCCGCCUCAAGAUCAUGACUUUGUUCUAGAGCAGGCAGAGGUUGACACCACCGGGCACACCGACCAGCCAACAAGCCCUAUCUGGACUGACAAACCGGUCAGUCCGGUGAAAUAUACUGACAAAACAAAAACUCCAGUACGAGCUGCUGAGGAGAAGGAUGAUGAUGUUCUGAUUACUGGCAUUGGCCAUACUGAUCCAGGAAAUCAUGUCGCUUUGUCAAAACAUACCGCCAAAGAGGAAUUUUCUGCAAUUGGUACAGGCAAAUGGAAUGCCGAUCUGUCCGCUUACGCCCAUCUGAGUGCUCAAGACCUUCAUUCCAGCUAUCUGAACCGUCUAUACACCAGUCGUGACUAUGAAGCCGGCUUGGUAAAUAUGAUGAAGGAACGAUAUGAGAUAAUUUCAUAA